UACCACCAUCACCUGGGAACCCUGACCAGUUCAAGCUUCAUGGAGCGGGUCACGGAGACAGGGAGUCUCUGGGGUCUGCAACACGUGCUGUGGGGAUCCCGGCACCGCCCCUCACCUUGAACUUCACCUUCAUGGAGCUUUCUGCCUGGCAACCUACAAAGAGCCUGGAUUCCGUCUGCCCCCAACCAGCUCCUAGGCUCGGAGGUGGGGGUUUGGCCCACCCCUAGGCCUGGGCUGGGCGCCAACUCCCCUGGGUUUAUCGCUGUUACACAUCAGGAUAACAACCCGCGUCUCUUUAGACGGUCCAGGGGAGCUGGACACCCGGCUGCCAUCUGGGCCUGGAAAAUCUCCCCCCGUCUUUUCUCUCUAGAAUUCUUCCUGCCAAUUUCAAUGCCCUGGGCUGGCAGCAGCAGGGCCUGGCCCCGCAGCCGCUGGGGCUCAGCACAAGACAUUCGGCUGCUGGAGCCCACACGACUGUCGGCGUCAGCUCACAGACGGGAGCAGCCUUGGGGGGGGGCUGUGUGAGAAGGGGAGAGAGCGUUUGCUGCUUCCCUGUCCCAUUACAACGCCGCUGGGUCCUCGCUCCAGGGAGAGUCGGGGGUUCCCGAGCUGCUGGGGGGCUGGACGCCCGGUUCCCAGGUAUCUGAAUGGGAAUCAUGUGUCCCAACAGCGGCCGAGCAAGGACUGAUUUUCUGGGCUUGGCAGCUCCUCCUGGUGGAGCGGAGACCAGUGAGGGGGUAUCAGGGGUCCGCACAGACCCAGAGCUAAAACGUCCUGCUAAACACUGCCCUGGGGCAAUGCCCCAUGUCUGCCCCCUGCACCCCACGUGGUCCCCGCCCUCCGGGGCUCCUCCCGGCCCCUGCCAGCUGCCCCGGCGUCUGGGUCCAGCUGCUCUGCCCCACCAGAAAGCCGGAGCUGGGAGUGCUAAUCCACCCGCUCAGGGCAGGCAGUCCCUGACGCUGCUGGGAACCCAGUGCCCUGGACAACCGAGGGAAGCGCGGUGCCCCGGGACCCCAGCCAAAGCCAGGCAGACAAACCCGGGGAACUGCUUUAUUCCAGCGAGGGGCUGGCAGAGACAGUCUCCACCCGCAGCACCAAGGGCCUGUCUGCACAAUGACCUUCCUCCGCUGUAAGUUACAGGGUCAAUUUAAACUGUUUUCGUAAAACUUA